rnacentral:rRNA from 1 species
AUGCCAUGCUUCCAGGAAAAGCCUCUAAGCUUCAGAUUGUAAGGAAUCGUACCCCAAACCGACACAGGUGGUCGGGUAGAGAAUACCAAGGCGCUUGAGAGAACUCGGGUGAAGGAACUAGGCAAAAUGGUACCGUAACUUCGGGAGAAGGUACGCUCUUGAUGGUGAAGUCCCUUGCGGAUGGAGCUGACGAGAGUCGCAGAUACCAGGUGGCUGCAACUGUUUAUUAAAAACACAGCACUGUGCAAAAUCGUAAGAUGACGUAUACGGUGUGACGCCUGCCCGGUGCCGGAA